AGAUUGAACGCUGGCGGCAUGCCUAACACAUGCAAGUCGAACGGCAGCAUGACCUAGCUUGCUAGGUUGAUGGCGAGUGGCGGGACGGGUGAGUAAUGCAUCGGGACCUACCCAGACGUGGGGGAUAACGUAGGGAAACUUACGCUAAUACCGCAUACGUCCUACGGGAGAAAGCGGGGGAUCUUCGGACCUCGCGCGGUUGGACGGACCGAUGUGCGAUUAGCUAGUUGGUAAGGUAAUGGCUUACCAAGGCGACGAUCGCUAGCUGGUCUGAGAGGAUGAUCAGCCACACUGGAACUGAGACACGGCCCAGACUCCUACGGGAGGCAGCAGUGGGGAAUUUUCCGCAAUGGGCGAAAGCCUGACGGAGCAAGACCGCGUGGGGGAAGAAGGCUCUUGGGUUGUAAACCCCUUUUCUCUGGGAAGAACGCAAUGACGGUACCAGAGGAAUCAGCAUCGGCUAACUCGUGCCAGCAGCCGCGGU
rnacentral:rRNA from 1 species